GUCCACGCCCUAAACGAUGUCAACUGGUUGUCGGGGAAGCAAUUCCUUGGUAACGAAGCUAACGCGUGAAGUUGACCGCCUGGGGAGUACGGCCGCAAGGUUAAAACUCAAAGGAAUUGACGGGGACCCGCACAAGCGGUGGAUUAUGUGGAUCAAUUCGAUGCAACGCGAAAAACCUUACCUACCCUUGACAUGUACGGAACCUCGCAGAGAUGUGAGGGUGCCCGAAAGGGAACCGUAACACAGGUGCUGCAUGGCUGUCGU
rnacentral:rRNA from 1 species